rnacentral:tRNA from 1 species
GGUCCGUUGGUCAAGGGGUUAAGACACCGCCUUUUCACGGCGGUAACACGGGUUCGAAUCCCGUAUGCGGUUUA